ensembl:lncRNA
AUGAACAGAAAUGCAGCCUUUUCAGUGUGUUCCAUUAUUCAAAAAUCAUCUUUAGCAUCUCUUUUCCUGAUCCCAACUUGCACAUCUGGCAUUUAUCUUUGUGGGAGAAUUUUGAGCAUAACUAUGCUUGCAUGGGAAAUUAAAACAACAAUCCUCUGGUUAUUGGAAUCCUUGGAAUUCCUUUUCUUGGGAAUUGAACAUUUUAACCAGUGGACCAUUCUUUUGCUUUCCAUAUUUCUUAACAGAUUUUAGUUAGAACCAGGAUAUAUUCUAUCUUUGUAGCUUGAAGCAUCUAUAUUGGUAUGCCAUCUGUUCCUAGUAAUGUAUUUCUCCCAAGUUUUCAGAGUGUGGCUUCCGCUUCACUUUCUAAAAUUGUACAUUCUUCUUUGACUGGAUCUGUUAUCUUUCCAUCUCUUUUAUCCAGUUCUUUGGUGUAUUGUUUUUAUCAUCUUUUCAUUUCAUUUUGGUCGUGUAAUGUGUUCCUUUCAGGUCAUAGAGCAUCCCCACUUUUGACCUAAAUUUCCCUGUGGUUUUUCAGAUCUUUUGAAAGAAGUUCUCUUCUUCCUUUUUGGUCAUUUUCUAUUUCUCUGCAUUGAUUAUUAUAGUCACUCUUCUUGUCCCUGCUGAACAACUGCAUUCAGGGUUCUGACUCUAUUACUGUUAUCUUUUUGAUUUGCUUCUCAUUUGUCCUUAAAAUAAAUAAUAAUAAAAUAAACUUAAUUCUUAUACCCCGCCCCAUCUCCCCGAAGGGACUCGGAGCGGCUUACACAGGGACAAACCCGAACAACAACAUAACAGCAUUUCAUGUAUAAAAUUUAACAGCAGAUUAAACAUUCCAGCAAUAAACAGAACAACAUACAAGACAGUUACUUAAAAGCCUGAGCAUCAAUUAUUGCACACAGCAAAAAAUGACAAGUGCAGUGCUCAAGAGUCCAUGGAUAAAAUCAAAAUUAAUAAAGGAGAAAUACAGGGACAGGUUCCAUAAAGUGCUAUAACAUAUGGGAUAAGGAACAGUGAUAAGGUGCCAGACAAUUUUGUAAACAUAACCAAUAACAGUAUGAAGACAAAUCUGAAGGGCCUAUUCAUUCAAACGAGCACCGGAACAUCCACAUUUUCAGUUCCCGGCGAAAGAUGGGCAAAGAGGGAGCCAACCUGAUCUCCCUAGGGAGAGAGUUCCUUAACUCCUGGAAGAGUUUCACCUGUCAUCCAUUGAGGGCUUUGUUUUCUUUUUUGCUACAGAUAGUGUCUUUUUGCAUUCCUCCCUGAUAGUAUCUCUAGUUUCAGUCUUAUUGAUUUAAUAGCUCAUAUCUUUUAAUUCUAUAAUUAUUCAAAUUUUUGCAUGAUGGUUGAUUUAGUGGUACUCUUUAGCUUUACUUGAAUUUUUGAUAUUAACAGUUCAUGGUCUGUGUCACAAUCUGCUCCUAGUCUUGUUUUUGCAGAAGGAAUGGGGCUUUUCUUUCCCUACAUUUAGUCAUUUCAAUAUUGACCACCAGGUAAUGUCUACAUAUCCAAUUAUGAAUUUGGUUACUUGUUAUAUAUAUUUAUGAUGAACUAAUUGUUGACUUUGAAAAAUUCAAUUUAUUUUUUUUUCUGCUUCAUUUCUUAAUCCUAGGCCAAAUUUUCCUAAAAUCUAUUGGUUCUUUUUUAUUUCUGACUUUUGCAUUCUAACCAGCUAUGAUGAAUAAAAAGCCCUGUUUUGAUAUGUGAUCAGCUUUUUCCAGAAAAGCAUAGAAUCUUCUGAUUUCCUCAUAUUCUGCCUCUGUAGUUAGAACAAAAACUCAGAUUUUUGAGUUUACCCUGACAAUCCAGCCUUGUUGUUAUUUUGCUUUGCUUUCCUGGACUCCACCUGUGGAACUGCAGAGGAAAAUCCAGCAUUCCUGUCUCUUUGCAGAUUUAGGCCUACCAGCAACUGUGUCUGUUACUUAGCAGAUUCUGCCAGUGCAUUUCACCUUCCCCAGCUGUAGAGCUGGCACAUAUAGCUAGAGUCCACAAGGACUUGAGAGAGUUGGCACCUUCUGUGAGAAGAGAAAACCCAGAAUUCAGGCAUACUAGCUAUUCUCAUUCUGCUACUGCUGCUAUUCUAGUUCUCAUUCUACUACUGCUUCUAUUCUAUUGUCUGGGCCUUAUCUCUCUGGUUUGGUUAUCAGUUGUUGAGUUUAUGCUUUUAUACUUUUUAUGAUUAUAUAUGUUUUUUAUAUAUUAAUUCAUUGUAAUUGAAUGUAUCUUAUGUUGUUGUAUUUUAUUGUUACAUUGGAGCCCCCAGAUGGCGUAGUGGACUAAGUGACUUGAAGGUUGGGUUGCUGACCUGAAGUUGCCAGGUUCGAAUCCCACCUGGGGAGAGUGCGGAUGAGCUCCCUCUAUCAGCUCCAGCUCCAUGCGGGGACAUGAGAGAAGCCUCCCACAAGGAUGGUAAAACAUCAAAACAUCCGGGCAUCCCCUGGGCAACGUCCUUGCAGACGGCCAAUUCUCUCACUCCAGAAGCAACUUCGGUUGCUCCUGACACACACACACAAAAAAAAAUUGUUACAUUACUGGGCUUGGUCCCCAUGUAAGACAGCCUGAGUCCUUUCGGGGAGAUGGAGUAGGGUAUAUGAAUAAAGUUGUUAUUAUUAUUUGGAGGAGAAUUCAUUUUCAUUCUAUUUUAAUUGUGUGUAUUGUUAUGUGUAACCCUUAGAUCCAUCAUUUUGCUUCAGGUUUGAUGCACUUGCAUGAAGUCAUUAAUUAGUUAUAUGCAACAACAACAUCUGACUCAUGUAGCUUGUGUUUGCUGUUGGUCUAAGAUGAGAAAACAAAAAGGCAACAAGGAUUCAGCAGGAUGCUGCACCAUUUGUGGCUGGUGGGCUGUUUGGUUUGGUGGGUCAAACAUUGUGCAAAGCUGAAUUAUCCCCUGCAAUUUUAUCAUGUAAUGCCAGUCACAUUUCUAGUAGGGAUGAGUGCUAAAUUCCCUGAAACAAACUGUUAAUAACACUGUGGAAAGAAAGUUACAAAAACAACUUGCAGGCAGCCAUAUGUUUUCCUUGUUUCUGCACAGCUCUUCAGCCAAAGGCGUUAGAAGAUCACAGCAGGUUGCCAAACUAGAAGUUUACACAUUGCACACAUCUGGGAAACUGGCAGAAUAAAAGUCUUCAGUGCCGAGGAAGGCUUUCUGCUGAAGAGUGGAUAAUUUAAUGAUUCAAAUCGCAGUCUGGACAAUGCUAAGCAGCUCUCAGCGCCUCUAAUUAAAGAUAAUGCUGCCCUCAAUCACAAGGUGAACUUAUGGAAGAUCAAUUUUAAAAAGGGGGAAAAAGAGGAAGCCACUUGCAGUGUGCAAGAGUUGGAUGCAGGGUGUUUUCUGUUGCUAGGAUAUAGAGUCGAUAAGGGCAGUGACUUGAUACUGGGUUUGAUCUUUUUUUUUUUUCAAAAUGAAAAGGAGCUUUUUACAUUUACUUUCUUUCUGCACAUUAAACUGCAAUUAAUCAUUGGCAGGUCUGAAGGUGCUCCUCCACAUAUUUCUUUCUGAAGUGGAAGGCUGACCUCCAAUAUUUACAUACAUUAUUUACCAAUGUAAUAUGUGGUAACAUCAUAAAAGAAAAGAAACAAGAUGAUGAAAUAUAGAUCAGGACAGAGUGGUUAUGGUUACAUCAUAGAGCAAUUCACUGCCCAAGAGAAAAAAUCACAGGGUGGCAAAUAUUGAGAAGUUGACACUCUUGAGAAAAUAGACUGAGUGUAAACUAUUUGUACUAAAGUCAUGGUGGGAGCAGAUAGAAAGAAUCGGAAACAUUUGCAUAGGAGCCCUCUUUCUUUCUUUCUUUCUUUCUUUCUUUCUUUCUUUCUUUCUUUCUUUCUUUCUUUCUUUCUUUCUUUCUUUCCAUCCUCCCUCCCUCCCUUUUAACUAUCAUGUAUUUUUUUACUAGUGCAUCAUUCUUAGAAAUGCACACUGCAGAAGACAGGAGAAGGGGGAAUGCACAAAACUGACAUUUUUCAUAAGGUGUUAUAUGUUUCAUUAAUUUAUAUUUCUUCUUUGCUGCCACUAAUUAAUAUUCAGGUUUCUUUAGCUGCCACCAUUUUAUUACACCUCAGCCACCUCCUCUGUCAGGAUUUUAAACUGACAGGUCACCUUUUUGUUGGGAUGUUCAGGAAGACACACAAACUCUUUAGAUGAAGUAAAACAAGAAAAUGAUGUUUAUUUAUAUUGGAACGGUAAAAAUGCAUAGUGGUUUCAAUGAAAGAUUUCAUUACAAAGAAUGGUUUUAUAACUUGAAUUCUGUGGAGAUAUGUUCCUUCAUACAGGAGUACGGUUCAGGUCUAUGAAAACCUUUUUAAAAACCUUUUCUCCUGUUGCUUGACACCAGCACUCUAAACUAUAGAGUGUCAAUAUAGUUCUUAGCUUUUCUUCCCUAAAGACUCUUAACUAUAUUCCUCAAAGAGGUAUCUCUCUAAUAACAGUUCCCAAAACUAUAUUUUCAAACUCCAAACACCAUUCAACUAACUCCCUAACUGAAAAAUCAAUUCUCUGGCUGCAUAACUUCGACUGUCACUUUGGCUCCGCCCAUAUCCAGUUGCUAAGCAACUCCCUUGAUUUGCAUCUGCCAAUCUUCUUCUUCUUAGGCGAUCCCUCGUAGUUCGAGGAUGAUGGUCUUCCACUUCGGAAGACGCCUGUGCGUGAUUUUUUUUUUAAUGUGUGGAGGUUGGUGCAUGGCCGGUCAACACACAGUCUUCACAGAGUGAGGUCCCAGCAGUGGUGUGAUUAACACAACAAGAAUGGCUUCUCAGUCUGUUGCAGCCUUCUUCUGCCUUCACAGCCGUUGUAACAUGUACCAUGUUAUCUUCCGCCUGUUCCGCUGUUGAGGUCUUUGGGUCUUCGGAUUGUACUUGGUCUGGAUCCUCCCCUGUGGAUCCUCCCAGGAGUGCAAAACUCCAGUGGUUGUGCCCACAGGUUCAUUGGAACACGCAAGCCCCCUCACUACGACAAGGUGACAAUCCAUCGAGGAGGGGUCUGCCAAUCGGACUGCACUUCCAGUAAUGGCUGCCUGAUUGCUCCUCCCCCUUGCUCUGCUUAGUUUUUUCAAGUAAAGCCUGAAGUUAUCUGUACACCAACUUUGUAAGGUAGGCUAAUCCGUUUC